AGUGAACGCUGGCGGUAGGCCUAACACAUGCAAGUCGAACGGCAGCACAGUAAGAGCUUGCUCUUACGGGUGGCGAGUGGCGGACGGGUGAGGAAUACAUCGGAAUCUACUUUUUCGUGGGGGAUAACGUAGGGAAACUUACGCUAAUACCGCAUACGACCUACGGGUGAAAGCAGGGGAUCUUCGGACCUUGCGCGAUUGAAUGAGCCGAUGUCGGAUUAGCUAGUUGGCGGGGUAAAGGCCCACCAAGGCGACGAUCCGUAGCUGGUCUGAGAGGAUGAUCAGCCACACUGGAACUGAGACACGGUCCAGACUCCUACGGGAGGCAGCAGUGGGGAAUAUUGGACAAUGGGCGCAAGCCUGAUCCAGCCAUACCGCGUGGGUGAAGAAGGCCUUCGGGUUGUAAAGCCCUUUUGUUGGGAAAGAAAAGCAGCAGGUUAACACCCCGCUGUUCUGACGGUACCCAAAGAAUAAGCACCGGCCAACUUCGUG
rnacentral:rRNA from 1 species